CAAAAAUGUUAUUUUCUGCGGGAGUGGGCUUUUCUCUCUUUCCAACUCCCAACGAUGGGAGAGCGUUUUCGACGUUCUGAGCAUGUUUAGUUAUUUUCCAACUGCUGAUGCUCCUUUUGCUGUUGGAUAUGGCUGGAUCAUAAGCUGAACUAUUGGUGCAAUAUUGAUGAAUCGUGUUGAAAAUCAUUUUGCUGGGAUUUCAUGAUCAAUUGGGAGUAUUGUUUUUGCGGCACUGUUGCUAAAGGAAAUGAGCUGAAAUCUACUGAACUAGUGUGGAAGAUCUUUUGUGGAGUUCAUGAUCUAUUGAGGAUGUUACUGGAAUGUUUAAUCUCCGUGUUUGAAACCAUUCAAUGUUCAUUGAAUGUAUUUUCUUCAAGCCUAAACAGUACCUCUUCUUCGUGGUCUGUAUUGGGUCUUUCCUCGAUAUACUCUUUGUCGAGUUCUUAAUAAAAUUUUGUUGUCUAUCAAAAAAAAAAAAAGUAAUUAGA